rnacentral:rRNA from 1 species
UACGUUCCCGGGCCCUUGUACACACCGCCCGUCAAGCCAUGGAAGCUGGGGGUGCCUGAAGUCGGUGACCGCAAGGAGCUGCCUAGGGUAAAACUAGUAACUAGGGCU